GUGGGUGUGGAGAAGUGGUUAACGCACCGGAUUGUGGCUCCGGCAUUCGUGGGUUCAAGUCCCACCAUCCACCCCA
rnacentral:tRNA from 1 species